ensembl:lncRNA LINC01649 long intergenic non-protein coding RNA 1649
GGGGGGCAGCUCUCAUAAGGACACUGAUCAUUCAUGAUGGCCUGCCUUCACGAGACUCAGUCACCUCCCAAGGGCCCCCAGUUCCUAACAGCAUCACCUAUGGCGGUAUCUACUGACCUGGUUAUCGCUUCUUCCUUUAAGGAGUAUUAGAACACUGCUGGGGAUGGGCUGACAAACAUACCAGGGAUUUUACUUUGUGUCAGCCAAGAGGCUUUCCUUACCUCCUUGUCUUCAGUACUCUUGUGCACAAGCAUGCUUCUCAGAGAAGGUGGAUUCUACCUUGGAAGGAAAUGAGUCGUUUCCUCCCAUCAGGACAACUGCCACAGCAUGGUGUCAACUCACUCUUGCCUUUCGUAAAUUGAGUUUGUCAGUGCUCAGCGACACAGCUGAGUGAAAUGUUGUGUGAUGCGGGCUGUCUCCUGGGAGAGAGAAACUGGCAUAAACCACAUCCUAAUGGGAUCCAGAAACAAAGAAGCGUGAAUGAAGUGUUAAUUGCAUUCAUAAAGACAUUAACAAAGGAAUUAAAAUGGCAGAAGCUUCAGUCCCCCACUCAAGAUUCACAGAAAAAUAUGUUAUCCAAAGAAUGUUUCAACAAUAAUCAUCAAAGUUUAUUGCUUGCCCAUUGGGGAAAUAACUCUUGAUACAUAUUAACUUUUCAAAGAACAUUUUGGGUCCAUUAUUUUGAGUAUAUUAACUAACAGACAGUUUAUUCCACCCUACCUCCAGUUCUUUGCUUGCUUUUGUAUGAUUUAAGUUUCAAAAAAAUCCAGAGGCAUUUUCAGUGCUGCUUCAUUAACCAUAAGGAUGUCUGUUAACAGUUUGAACCUAAUCAAUCCUACAGUUCUUAUUAGAGCAAAAUGCUCAUUAUCUGGGAGAAUUUUUGCUUUUUGAAAUAAAAUUACAAGACUGGGGGUUUAUUUUACAGUCCCUCUUGAAUAUUCCUGAGAUGAUCUGCAAUGUGGGCAACCCGGGGCUCCCUCCCCAGCCCUGUGGCAGGGCCCCCCAGCUGCUGACAGCGGGGCUAAGCUGGCAAAAGGUCAGGAGGCUGCAUUUCACUGAAGAUGGAUCGCACAGAUGAAUAUUGCGCUUGCUUAAUGAAGUCAAGGCCACGGAUUUGGGGCCUUUUAUGGUUCUUCUUGUUUCACUCAAUUUCACCUUCAUAGACCACGCCACUAAUCCCAGCCAAUCAUUUUGUAGAUAUGUGCAACUGGUGACUAAGGGACUAGAUAAAAGUAAAUGAAUCUAAAAAACAGUGACCAGAAAUUCAGAAAUCUCUGUGCCUAUAACAAACUCAGAAUUAAAAAAAAAAAGCAUGCAGAGUGAGUGUUUCGUGAUCCUUGCAGAAACUCUGUGAGAUAUAUGGAGCCGACAUUCCUACCUUCAUUCUGCAGGUAAGAAAGCUAAAACUCAAAGACAUUAAGUAAAGUCUCAGGAUUAAAAUUCAGAUUUUUUUAAUCAUC